GGAGUUUGGACCGUGUCUCAGUUCCAAUGUGGCCGUUCACCCUCUCAGGCCGGCUACUGAUCGUCGCCUUGGUGAGCCGCUACCUCACCAACCAGCUAAUCAGACGCGGGACCAUCCUUUACCGAUAAAUCUUUGGCAUCUCAGCCAUGCGACUAUGAUGUAUUAUGGGGUAUUAAU
rnacentral:rRNA from 1 species